rnacentral:rRNA from 1 species
CGCUUCACUCCUACGGGGAGGCAGCAGUAGGGAAUCUUCACAAUGGGCGCAAGCCUGAUGGAGCAACACCGCGUGAGUGAAGAAGGGUUUCGGCUCGUAAAGCUCUGUUGUUAAAGAAGAACACGUAUGAGAGUAACUGUUCAUACGUUGACGGUAUUUAACCAGAAAGUCACGGCUAACUACGUGCCAGCAGCCGCGGUAAUACGUAGGUGGCAAGCGUUAUCCGGAUUUAUUGGGCGUAAAGAGAGUGCAGGCGGUUUUCUAAGUCUGAUGUGAAAGCCUUCGGCUUAACCGGAGAAGUGCAUCGGAAACUGGAUAACUUGAGUGCAGAAGAGGGUAGUGGAACUCCAUGUGUAGCGGUGGAAUGCGUAGAUAUAUGGAAGAACACCAGUGGCGAAGGCGGCUACCUGGUCUGCAACUGACGCUGAGACUCGAAAGCAUGGGUAGCGAACAGGAUUAGAUACCCUGGUAG